rnacentral:rRNA from 1 species
AGAGUUUGAUCAUGGCUCAGAACGAACGCUGGCGGCAGGCUUAACACAUGCAAGUCGAACGCCCCGCAAGGGGAGUGGCAGACGGGUGAGUAACGCGUGGGAACAUACCCCUCGGUUCGGAAUAGCUCAGGGAAACUUGGAUUAAUACCGAAUACGGUCGAGAGGCGAAAGAUUUAUCGCCGAGGGAUUGGCCCGCGUCCGAUUAGCUAGUUGGUGAGGUAAUGGCUCACCAAGGCGACGAUCGGUAGCUGGUCUGAGAGGAUGAUCAGCCACAUUGGGACUGAGACACGGCCCAAACUCCUACGGGAGGCAGCAGUGGGGAAUAUUGGACAAUGGGCGAAAGCCUGAUCCAGCCAUGCCGCGUGAGUGAUGACGGCCUUAGGGUUGUAAAGCUCUUUCGUCAGGGACGAUAAUGACGGUACCUGAAGAAGAAGCCCCGGCUAACUUCGUGCCAGCAGCCGCGGUAAUACGAAGGGGGCUAGCGUUGUUCGGAAUUACUGGGCGUAAAGCGCAUGUAGGCGGGUCUUUAAGUCAGGGGUGAAAUGCCAAGGCUCAACCUUGGAACUGCCUUUGAUACUGGAGAUCUUGAGUCCGGGAGAGGUGAGUGGAACUGCGAGUGUAGAGGUGAAAUUCGUAGAUAUUCGCAAGAACACCAGUGGCGAAGGCGGCUCACUGGCCCGGUACUGACGCUGAGAUGCGAAAGCGUGGGGAGCAAACAGGAUUAGAUACCCUAGUAGUCC